rnacentral:sRNA from 1 species
GGAUGUGAGGGUGACCUGGCUGUGACAUCUGUCACCCCACUGAUCACCAGGGUUGAUUUGGCUGAUCUGGCUGGCUAGGAAGGUAUCCCCUUCCUCCCUCACAGUUCCAUGUGUCCCUCCUGAAGCUGCUUAGUUAGUUGAAGAGGACAACCAACCAUGGGCCGGGGAUUUAGCUCAGUGGUGCUGCCACCUGCCUCACAAGUGCAAGGACCUGAGUUCAAUUCCCAGUACAAAAAAAAGGGACAAUUAUUU